rnacentral:lncRNA from 1 species
GGGGCAAAAUUUUAUUGGCACAUACUGAAAAUUGUAAGUACAUGUGCAGCAUUACCAAUUGACAUGCAAAGUAUGUGUACAUUAUGAUGCCUGGAAGUCACGUAAUUAAUCACAGGAGCAAAGAACCUGCGAGUGUGGAACAAUAAAUUAUACAUUAAUCCCAAAUGGAUCGAGCACGACAAAGAUAGAGAACAAGUCUUCAGGAAAGCAUAAGUGGUGCUUGACAUCAAAU